rnacentral:lncRNA from 1 species
UCCUCCUCCUCCUGCGGGUGCGUGUGUGUGUAUCUGCGCGUCCCCGCGCGGAAGUCCUUUCCUCCGCGCGUGCGCGGCUGCGCGUGCGCCUGUUCACACGGCUGCGCCGUGCGCGCGCUGCGUGCGGGCGCGUGUGCGUGUGUUUUUGGGUGGAGGACUGCCCAUGUGGGAAGGUGCAGCAGCUUAUGUGGUAAGUAUUGGCAGUAAUGGAUAUAUCUUCCUGUGAGCUACAAAAUCUUGCCACAUUCACCUUGGCUCAUGCGAUCUGAAGAAACCUGAUGCGUCAAGAUAACUUGGUUGUGUGUCCUGGCCCCCCUGUCCAGUUGGGACCUCUAGCUGCUACUGUCAUACAAGCAACUAAGAAAACAUCCUGAGCAAGGAGAAGCUGUAGAAAAGGAACUGGGAAUUAUUGUUACACAUAUGCAUUUUCCUUUUCCUAAUUCAAAAUACACUUAAUAGCACAGUACUAUAUAGGAAUAAAUAACUAGAAGAAUAUUGCA